UGUCAAUUUCUUUUUAUCUUUACAUGCCACUGUUGUCUAAGAAUUCACUUGGGUCCAUGCAAUAGCGCCUAAUGGAUUUUCCAGUCCACUCUUGAGACCCCUUUGAUCUCUUCUCUGCCUGGCAGCCAAAGCUGCAAGCAGAGGUCUCCAAGGCCCAAGCUGAAGGCAGAACCACAAGGUGGAAGAAACUCAGGUCUAUAAAUCAUUUUGGGAAGGAAAGCUGCUCACUGUCCA
rnacentral:lncRNA from 1 species